rnacentral:rRNA from 1 species
GAUGAACGCUGGCGGCGUGCCUAAUACAUGCAAGUCGAGCGAACAGACGAGGAGCUUGUUCCUCUGCCGUUAGCGGCGGACGGGUGAGUAACACGUGGAUAACCUACCUAUAAGACUGGGAUAACUUCGGGAAACAGGAGAUAAUAACGGAUAAUAUAUUGAACCGCAUGGUUCAAUAGUGAAAGACGGUUUUGCUGUCACUUAUAGAUGGAUCCGCGCCGCAUUAGCUAGUUGGUAAGGUAACGGCUUACCAAGGCAACGAUGCGUAGCCGACCUGAGAGGGUGAUCGGCCACACUGGAACUGAGACACGGUCCAGACUCCUACGGGAGGCAGCAGUAGGGAAUCUUCCGCAAUGGGCGAAAGCCUGACGGAGCAACGCCGCGUGAGUGAUGAAGGUCUUCGGAUCGUAAAGCUCUUUUAUUAGGGAAGAACAAAUGUAUAAGUAACUAUGCACGUCUUGACGGUACCUAAUCAGAAAGCCACGGCUAACUACGUG